AGCUUUGCGCAGUGGCGAUAUCGUAACCAAUGAGGUUCUACCGAGGUGCGAUUAUUGCUAGUUGAAAAAAAAAAAAAAAAAAACGAGUGAUAACAAUGAUAAUCUGUCUUUAGAACCAAAUGCUGAUAUUUGGAUUGUCGU